rnacentral:rRNA from 1 species
UACGGAGGAUCCGAGCGUUAUCCGGAGUGACUGGGCGUAAAGAGUUGCGUAGGUGGUAGUUUAAGCGAAUAGUGAAACCUGGUGGCUCAACCACACAGACUAUUAUUCGAACUGGACUACUUGAGAAUGGUAGAGGUAACUGGAAUUUCUAGUGUAGGAGUGAAAUCCGUAGAUAUUAGAAGGAACACCAAUGGCGUAGGCAGGUUACUGGACCAUUUCUGACACUAAGGCACGAAAGCGUGGGGAGCGAACCGG